rnacentral:rRNA from 1 species
CCUACGGGAGGCAGCAGUGAGGAAUAUUGGUCAAUGGGCGCGAGCCUGAACCAGCCAAGUAGCGUGAAGGAUGACUGCCCUACGGGUUGUAAACUUCUUUUAUAAAGGAAUAAAGUGAGGCACGUGUGCCUUUUUGUAUGUACCUUAUGAAUAAGGAUCGGCUAACUCCGUGCCAGCAGCCGCGGUAAUACGGAGGAUCCGAGCGUUAUCCGGAUUUAUUGGGUUUAAAGGGUGCGUAGGCGGCCUUUUAAGUUAGCGGUGAAAGUCUGUGGCUCAACCAUAGAAUUGCCGUUGAAACUGGGGGGCUUGAGUAUGUUUGAGGCAGGCGGAAUGCGUGGUGGAGCGGUGAAAUGCUUAGAUAUCACGCAGAACCCCGAUUGCGAAGGCAGCCUGCCAAGCCAUGACUGACGCUGAUGCACGAAAGCGUGGGGAUCAAACAGGAUUAGAUACCCUUGUAGUC